CCUACGGGUGGCAGCAGUGAGGAAUAUUGGUCAAUGGGCGCGAGCCUGAACCAGCCAAGUAGCGUGAAGGAUGACUGCCCUACGGGUUGUAAACUUCUUUUAUAAAGGAAUAAAGUGAGGCACGUGUGCCUUUUUGUAUGUACUUUAUGAAUAAGGAUCGGCUAACUCCGUGCCAGCAGCCGCGGUAAUACGGAGGAUCCGAGCGUUAUCCGGAUUUAUUGGGUUUAAAGGGAGCGUAGAUGGGUUGUUAAGUCAGUUGUAAAAGUUUGCGGCUAAACCGUAAAAUUGCAAUGAAACUUGGCAGUCUUGAGUACAGUUGAGGUAGGCGAAAUGCGUGUUGUGGCGGUGAAAUGCUAGAUAUCACGAAGAACUCCGAUUGCGAAGGCAGCUUACUAAACUGCCACUGACAUUGAUGCUCGAAAGUGUGGGUAUCAAACAGGAUUAGAUACCCUUGUAGUC
rnacentral:rRNA from 1 species